rnacentral:tRNA from 1 species
AAAAAGAUAAGCUAAUAAAGCUAACGGGUUCAUACCCCGUUUAUAAGAAUAAAAGUUUCUUUCUUUUUA